rnacentral:lncRNA from 1 species
AUCGUUAGGGUUUUUCACAUUGCAGUCGCCCUGUUCUUCGUCUUCAACCUUCGAUCUUCAUCUCGAUGACAUCUUCGAUCUCUAAUCGCCGAUGUUGGAACCUCGCUUGAUUUUUCAUUAUUUGUAUUACAUAUUGUGUGUUGGGCAUAAUAAAUACAACCGAUCAAAAAGUAGAACAACCAAAGGUUCGAUUUGGCAUAUUUUGGUAUUUGGGUACGGAUUCGAGCAUCUAUUUUGAGAAUUUUAUCAGAUUGUAUCCCGAUAAAAGGAAGGACAAGGAUUCCUUAUUUCGUCAUGCUACAAUCCUACACUUCUCUAACUCCUUCCGUUGGUGAUUGAAAUGUCCCAUGAGGAGGACGUACAGGUACCCAAAUGCAAUUCUACUAUUUGUAGCUUCUCAAACAUAGUUAAGAUAUUAUAAAACUUAUAGUUAAGAGCUUGAAAUGCCUCUUAAAAGAGAACUAUUGGAGUGUUGACCAAAAUUGAUUUGACGGAUAAAAAGUACAGAUGUAGUUGACGUAAUAGGGGUGUCGUUUGGGUUAUAUUAUCGGGUUUUGGUUAUAGCGGGUCGUGUUGUUUGGGUUUCGAAAGUUUUAUAUUUAACCCGAGAACCAGUCUAUAUGUUUAUCG